GACGAACGCUGGCGGCGUGCCUAAUACAUGCAAGUAGAACGCUGACUACUUUAGCUUGCUAGAGUAGAAGGAGUUGCGAACGGGUGAGUAACGCGUAGGUAACCUGCCUACUAGCGGGGGAUAACUAUUGGAAACGAUAGCUAAUACCGCAUAACAGUGUUUAACACAUGUUAGAUGCUUGAAAGAUGCAAUUGCAUCACUAGUAGAUGGACCUGCGUUGUAUUAGCUAGUUGGUGGGGUAACGGCCCACCAAGGAGACAAUACAUAGCCGACCUGAUGGGGACAUAGGCCAGCCAGGGACUGAGACACGGCACAGACUCCUACGGGAGGCAGCAGUAGGGAAUGUUCGGCAAUGGGGGCAACCCUGACCGAGAAACGCCGCGUGAGUGAAGAAGGUUGUAGGAUCGUAAAGCUCUGUUGUAAGAGAAGAACGUGUGUGAGAGUGGAAAGUUCACACAGUGACGGUAACUUACCAGAAAGGGACGGCUAACUACGUGCCAGCCGCCGCCGUAA
rnacentral:rRNA from 1 species